rnacentral:rRNA from 1 species
GUCUACAGCCAUCCUACCCUGAACAAGCCCGAUCCCGUCUGAUCUCGGAAGCUAAGCAGGCCCGAUUAGUACUUGGGUGGGAGACCACCUAGGAAGACCAGGUGCUGUAGGCA